rnacentral:rRNA from 1 species
UACGUAGGGACCGAGCGUUGUCCGGAAUCAUUGGGCGUAAAGAGCGUGUAGGCGGCCAAUUAAGUCCUGCGUGAAAUCUCGGGGCUCAACCCCGAGCGGUCGUGGGAAACUGGUUGGCUAGAGUGCGGGAGAGGAGAGUGGAAUUCCUGGUGUAGCGGUGAAAUGCGCAGAUAUCAGGAGGAACACCGGUGGCGAAGGCGGGU